UCCCACGGCCAGCCAUCGGCGCCGCUCCUACUCUGCCCGGCCUAUCCCUCGGCCAACCGCCGUCACGCUGGUCGCUCCCUCACCAGGUCAGCCACUGCCACACCCGAUGCUCUCUGGGCCAGCCACCGCGACCGAUGCUCCUCAGCCUGCCGCCGUCGCUGCAAACGACGCUCCUCUGCAUGCUGCCGCCACCACGACCGAUGAUCUCCCGUGAAUUAAUUCUCUUCCCGCUACCGCUCUGUAGCCACCACUAGCCUUCCGCCUCCACGACGUCUGCCAUCCCAGCCACGAAUGCACAUGAAACGACAUGCCACACCACAUAAUUCAUCACCUAUUCAUUACCUCACUUUCCGUUACCCUGCAAAUGCGUAAUAAAAUGGGUUUAAAUACCCUAUGUGGUACCAUCGUCAUCCAUGACACACGCCUUCUCGCGUCCCAUCUGGGAAGAGGCCUCCGGCCAGGUUGCGCUUCAGGACAAAGGUGCUCGACUCCACGUUAUGCUUCAAACAUCUCUUACUUGCUGGGAAUUGUUUCAUUACUUCACAUGCCCCUUUGCAUUUUUUCCCCCUGAUUUGUGCUUUACUCUCACUUUGUCAUGUGCAACAAUGGUAAAAUGUUAAUAUGAAAAAUCAGGCUUUCAAAUUCCAUGGUACUUGCUAUAGUUCUUUUAGAUACAGAUCGAUUGCUCAUCCAAAUAAACUAUGUUGAUUAUGGAAAAUUAGGCUUUCAAAUUUAAUGGUACUUGCUAUAGUUCUUCUAGAUACAGAUCGAUUGUUCAUCCAAAUAAACUCUCUUGGUUCCUCAUAUUAUUAUACCCGAAACACUCCCUCUAGGUACUAGAUGAACUGAUCGAAAAGAGGCAAGGGGUAAGGUUAUCGAUUCAUUUUUUGGACAGUUCAGUUAGUUAAAUGAUUAUGUGGGCAUAUGAGUAUAUUUGUUACCAAUGCAACAUAUAUCUUUGAAAAAAUUAAGAUAGACCAUGGUGUUCAUGUCGAUUCUAUCAGCAUUUGUGUUAUCCUCCUUCUGCACUAUCCCAGAUUGCACUCCCGGAUCGCACGUGACGGACAUUUUGCUUCAUAGAUCUCUUGCUUCUUGCAUCGAUCAAAAAUGGAGUCUAAUGCUGGAUCAUCCUCUUCCCCAAGUGAAACGUUCAGUGAAAUAGAUAAUCAUAUGGAAUGUCUCUAUAUUACACCAAACGAGGCUGUUUGGCGCUUGCCUGAGUAUCACAUUCACCCUACAUACCUGUCCACAAAAAGACUCCCUGUUAUACUUAAUGGAAUGAAGAAUGAUUCAGUAUCCCAGUUCCCCAUAGGUCAUGUCAAAAAGAAAAGCUUCUCAAUCAACAACGCACACGUGCUUCGCUCUACAAAGCCAUCUCCAAUCAAAGAAUUGAUGACCCAUCCAUCUUCAACAAUAAAUAUUGAGAGUAUGAUGAUCCAAACACCAGAGGACUCAAACAAUACUACACAUCCCUCUUGCCCAGGCGCAACUAUCAACACUCAGAAAAAACAAGACAAGCACUCUUUAGCUAAAAGGAUCGCUGAAUUUACAGAAGAUGAAACCACCAACAAAGAGAGUCAAAAGGAGGUUGAUCUUGAGGCUGCAGAACUUCAUCUUCAAGUUGUCAAAAAGCAUAAGCAACACAAUGCAGGAAACAACAUGACAAUGAAUAGCUAAGAAAGGCCAAGAGGAUAACACCGAUAAAAAAACAUAGGUACUGUCAGUUUCAUGUCCAAAGAAAAUUGUCCGAAAGUUAGGAUAUUGUCAAGCACUCACUCAAGCAGCAACAAACUACACUGCCUUCUAUUUGAAUUACUUACAUUGUGGCUUUAAUUGUAAUCUCUAUCAUUAGUAGUACUUUUGGGUGAUCCGAUGCAUGUACUGAGUUAUGGAUAAUGCUUAUGCAACUAUAUACGGGCCGGAUUACAUUGCCUUUUAUUUAUAUAUAUUUAUAUUGUGGCUCACUUUUUCAA